GCUUACCAUGCAGUCGAGCGGACCUUCCUUGGGGAUCUCGAGCGGCGAACGGUCGAGUACAAGAGAAAACCUGCCCUUGGCUUUGGGAUAACCCUCGGAAACGGGGGUUAACACCGGAUAUGCAUCAGCUGCCGCAUGGUGGUUGGUGGAAAGUUUUUCGGCCAGGGAUGGGCUCGCGGCCUAUCAGCUUGUUGGUGGGGUGAUGGCCUACCAAGGCGACGACGGGUAGCCGGCCUGAGAGGGCGACCGGCCACACUGGGACUGAGACACGGCCCAGACUCCUACGGGAGGCAGCAGUGGG
rnacentral:rRNA from 1 species